rnacentral:rRNA from 1 species
CACGUAGGGUGCGAGCGUUGUCCGGAAUUAUUGGGCGUAAAGAGCUCGUAGGCGGUCUGUCGCGUCGGUCGUGAAAACCUGCAGCUUAACUGUGGGCUUGCGGUCGAUACGGGCAUGACUGGAGUUCGGCAGGGGAGACUGGAAUUCCUGGUGUAGCGGUGAAAUGCGCAGAUAUCAGGAGGAACACCGGUGGCGAAGGCGGGUCUCUGGGCCGAUACUGACGCUGAGGA